rnacentral:rRNA from 1 species
GACGAACGCUGGCGGCGUGCCUAAUACAUGCAAGUUGAGCGCUGAAGGUUGGUACUUGUACCAACUGGAUGAGCAGCGAACGGGUGAGUAACGCGUGGGGAAUCUGCCUUUGAGCGGGGGACAACAUUUGGAAACGAAUGCUAAUACCGCAUAAAAACUUUAAACACAAGUUUUAAGUUUGAAAGAUGCAAUUGCAUCACUCAAAGAUGAUCCCGCGUUGUAUUAGCUAGUUGGUGAGGUAAAGGCUCACCGAGGCGAUGAUACAUAGCCGACCUGAGAGGGUGGGCGGCCACAUUGGGACUGAGACACGGCCCAAACUCCUACGGGAGGCAGCAGUAGGGAAUCUUCGGCAAUGGACGAAAGUCUGACCAAGCAACGCCGCGUGAGUGAAGAAGGUUUUCGGAUCGUAAAACUCUGUUGGUAGAGAAGAACGUUGGUGAGAGUGGAAAGCUCAUCAAGUGACGGUAACUACCCAGAAAGGGACGGCUAACUACGUG